ensembl:lncRNA
CUCAUUUUCUGUGGGUUUGUAUCAGCACAUUUGCUUAAACGCAUGUGUUUAUGCACAUCCUGAAUUACUUAAAGACAAAUCAUAAACACUUUGAUGCCAGACCUUUGGUGUCUAAUAAAAGCUAAAAUCUGUCUUAGGUAAGACUUAAUCACAGCAUUAAUCUGUCAGAUAAUGUGAACAAAGCAGGUAAACAGCCCUGAAGGUGCCAAACUCAAAAUAUCUCAUUUUCAUCAUUUUCACACACAAAAAAAUCCUGACUAUCAGGGUCUCAUUUUAGAGCGCUAUAAAUAUUAAAAAAAUAAUUUCAUACUUUGGUUAAUCCCACCUGGAAGGGUUUGCUCUGUGUGAAAUAAUGGUAAGAGCCCAGGGGUCCCAUUAGGCUUCUCACUAAUCCAAAUAAAUCCACUUGCCACUGCAGCACAGUCCAACUUUACUUGUUUUGCCUCUAAAUAACAGUGACAGCUUCACCACCAAGACAUUUGUUCUUGAUGCCUCAUGCUUUGUUCAACCUGUCACCCAUGAAGGUGAUUAACUGGAUUGAUUGCACAAUUUUUGACAUGAAGAGUAAAUGAGACGUGGCGUGUCUCCUCUCACUGAAUGACAGUCCAUGAAGCAGGUGAUAAGAAGAGCCAAAGAGUCAUUUCUAACAGUGCUGUCUUAUAUCUGACACCAGACUAGACACCUCGCAGCAGUUGGCUAUAGUCACUAUAUCAGUCAAAACUAUCCCAGCUUAGUCACAAAAUGUUUUUUCUUCUGCAAGAAUAAAUUCAACAAAACCCUUUUUUUAAUGCCAGGCUGUCAAUGUUUUUUUUUUUUUUUUUUUGGUUUGUUUUUUGUCUCCAAGUGAUUUUUGACAUGCUGUGCCAAGCAUAACAAGAACUAAACAAAGUGUCUAAAUGCUUCAAGAUUUGCAUUUUUCAUUCUUGCUGCUAUACAAUUCCUUGACGCAAGAGGUUAUGGAUUUCACUGUGGGGAAUUAGGAGACUUACAUUAUUCUCCACAAAUGCAAAUCUUUAUAAUAUGACAGUUUAAUCUUCUCAGAGAACUAUCCAACAAGAUUAAAGACGAAACUUAGAUCAUUCAGCGUUUCUCUAGGUUGUUGCCCCUUAGUCAUUCUUACAGCCAAUUACUGAGGUAUCUUCCCUGUUGUUAAUAGUUACCCUAUUUAGACAUAUUUUCUAUCAGUAUUAACUAUUAAAUGCUUUUAUAAUUCCACCAAGUUGUAUUUAA